CACAUGCUUGGGCCCUGGCCACCCACGUGGGAGACCCAGCUAGAACUGCUCUUUCUAGGCUUUGUCCUGGCACAACCCUGGUUGUUGCUGGCAUUUGGGGAGUGAACCAGUGGAUGGAAGGUCUCUCUCCCCUGUCACUUUGCCUUUCAAAUAAACAAAUACAUACAUCUUUUAAAAAGGGCUGGAAUCUGUAUUCUGUGAGCUGUUUGGGUUCUGUGAACCCGACCAGGAGCUGCCUGGUGUUGCCAUUUGGCUGACUUACCUUGGCAGGUCCCAGGUACCUGCCUUUGAGCCCCCAUGCCUUUUCCACCUUGCUAACGAGUAGCAGCAUGCACUCUGGGGGUGGAAAUCGUCCUCUCUGAUUUCCCCACCGACUUGAGAGCAGGAACCGACCGAGGUCAGUGAUGCAUUCUGACCUGGACUGACAGCAGAGGAGACACGAGGGGGUUUUCUCACCCUGACUGAGCAGAGGGAAUUCAUCCCUGGGAACUUCCUCUUGUAAGUCAGACUCUUAGUGUCGAGGUUAAAAGUUCAAACUACAGGAGGUGUUUCUGGUUUGACGUAUUUAUUUAUGACAUUGCCUUAUCUGGAUUGCAAAAGCAACCCCUAAUGUGCACACGAAUCUCCUGGGAUCUCGUUAAAAACGCAGACAGUGAUGCAGGUCUGGGAUGAGGUUGAAAUUCUGCAUUGCUCCAAGGCUCCCAGGCAGAGCUGUUGCUAGUGCACUAGACCAUACUUUGACCGAGAAGGGUGUAAUAGGGGACUUCUGGGGAGUCUGGACACAGGUUUUAGGAAACAUUAUUUAGCCUGGUCCCAGGGCCCAAGGCUUGGGUGCUCAGUAUACGUCCCAGUCUCCCGCCAGAGGCCGGUCCCCAGAGCGGCAGGGUGGAGCUGGGAGCUAGUGCGCAUGCGUGCUCACUCCCCUCCCUCCACCUGUCUUAGGCAAGUGAGGGUGGCGAUUGCGUCGUCUGCUUGUUGCUUAGAGACGAGUAGGAUGUUGGGAACCAGCGGGAGAAGGGAGCGGCGUUCCUAGGAAUCUGGCAAAGGCAUCAGGGCACUUGGUGGCUGGUCGUUCUACAAAGAGAUGCUUCCCCUAACCUACUAUCUGUUAACUGGUGGUACAAUUAAUGAAGAAAAGGGUAAAUAAAGGCUUGGGCUUCCCUGCUUUCAUUCAAGAUAAUAGAUUUGUUCCCUGUCAUCCUUCAAAGGACCCUAGAGGUGAAGGCCGAGGGGCAGCCGGGCCUGAAGAUUGAAGCAAAGCCCACAAAAGCCCUGUGUGUGCCAGUCCUUGUCAGUGACAGGCGGGCCGGUGACCGGGACAUCGCUCAGCCCAGGUGUCGGCUCAGCGGAUGCUGCUGCAGUCCUCCCCCAGCUGGGGACUGUGCCGGAUGACAAAUGGGAGGUAUUAGAUGGCACUUGGCAGCCGGAGGGAAAGACGCCCGUAAUUCAUGGCUUGGGAGCCGGCUCACGGAAACAUGAUGCCUGAAAGACACCGGACAUUUUUUUCCCCUCACACAGUGUUGACUCAGGAAGAGCUCAGAUCUGAGGAGCUGGGGCGGGGGAGGGGGGGGAGCAGGACACAGAGGAGAGGCGGAGGAGGGUGGGUCACAAGAGCUUCCGUUGCCUGCAAUGUGGUUUGAGGCUGGCUUCCUGGGGUCUCAGCCGCACAGUUCCCCCUCACCCCUGUAGUUCUCACAGAUCUGGCUCUGAUUUUGGCUGAGUCCUAAGUCAAAGCCAAAAUCCAGCAGUACACGUGGUUAUGGACUUUUAAAAAGAUUACCUGUGAUUCAUUACAGCUUAAAGGAAAUUGUUUUCUUUCAAAUAAACACACACAUAUAUACGUACACACACAUAUACACACAUGCAUAUACAUUAAUAUACAAUUAUAUGGGGGUACUUUAAAAGGUUUGUGGGAGGGGCCGGCGCUAUGGUGUAGCGGGUUAAGCCACUGCCUGCAGUGCCGGCAUCCCAUGUGGGCGACAGUUCCAGUCCCGGCUGCUCCACUUCUGAUCCAGAUCUCUGCUAUGGAAAAGCAGCAGCAGAUGGCCCAAGUACUUGAGGCCCUGCACCCACCUGAGAGACCUGGUUGAAGCUCCCGGCUCCUGGCUUCAGCCUGGCCCAGU